rnacentral:rRNA from 1 species
GAGGCCUACCAUGGUGGUAACGGGUAACGGGGUGUUAGGGCACGACACCGGAGAGGGAGCCUGAGAAACGGCUACCACAUCCAAGGAUGGCAGCAGGCGCGCAAAUUACCCAAUCCCGACACGGGGAGGUAGUGACAAUAAAUAACAAUACGGGGUUCUUUAGGAUCUCGUAAUUGGAAUGAGUACAAUUUAAAUCUCUUAACGAGGAACAAUUGGAGGGCAAGUCUGGUGCCAGCAGCCGCGGUAAUUCCAGCUCCAAUAGCGUAUAUUAAAGUUGUUGCAGUUAAAAAGCUCGUAGUUGAAUUUCGGGGUUAGUAGGUUGGCCAUGCCUCUGGUAUGUACUGGUCUCACUGAUUCCUCCUUCCUUAUGAACCGUAAUGCCAUUAAUUUGGUGUUGCGGGGAGUUUGGACUGUUACUUUGAAAAAAUUGGAGUGUUUAAAGCAAGCUAACGCUUGAAUACAUUAGCAUGGAAUAAUGAAAUAGGACGUUCGAUCUUAUUUUGUUGGUUUCUAGGAUUGACGUAAUGAUUAAUAGGGAUAGUUGGGGGCAUUAGUAUUCAAUUGUCAGAGGUGAAAUUCUUGGAUUUAUUGAAGACUAACUACUGCGAAAGCAUUUGCCAAGGAUGUUUUCAUUAAUCAAGAACGAAAGUUAGGGGAUCGAAGACGAUCAGAUACCGUCGUAGUCUUAACCAUAAACUAUGCCGACUAGGGAUCGGAUG